UUUUUUUUUUUUUUGUCGUCUGAUUUAUUGUUGCUCUGCUCAUGUCAGCCUCGAGUGUUGCUUAAAUAGAAAUUAAUGGCAACAAUUUAUGGAGCAAUUCAGUUUUUAGUCGAGUAGUUUAACAAAUUAUAAAUCUCUAAACGAUUUACAAGUUGUGAGAGGUUUUUUUGCUAUUAAAUAAACUAGAUAGAAGUGCAAUAUAAUAUGUGCACAUAGUUUUCAUUAUUGCAUAUUAAAUAUAAUAUAAUAAUAUUUCAAAAAGGUAGAAGUUGAGGUCGAGGCUGAUUUUCAUUGCGAACCCUUUCAGCUUGAGCUUGUUUACUAUAUAGAUAACAUAUGAAAUUCAGGUUGAAUUAAAAGUAAAAAAAAAAAAAAAAAAAAAACUAAAUUUGAAUAUGGAAUAGAAUUUUUAUAGAGUCUAUAUUGAAGGUUAUGUAGGCUACUAGGGUGUGAUCCGAGAAAAGGGCAUCACUUUUUCAAAAACUAUAUUUUAUUCUAGAGGCUAUUAAAAAAUUUUAGCUCAGUGAAUAUAGCAUCAGGAAUAAGCUCCUCAGACGAAAAGCUAGAAAACUCUUGACAUUUUUUAUAUAAAUAUCUCGAUGAAUACGAAUGAUAUGAACGAUGUGCAGAAAAUAAAGCCCAUAUUGAAGAAGACACGGAAAUUUUCGACAGCAGAAAUUAGAAGACCAAUGAGUGGUCGGAGCAACCUCGGCUGUUUCUUUUCCUUGCACUGCUUUUGUAUGGUCACCAAGUAAUGCAGAGCCUCAGUUAGCUUAUCUUACCACAUCAACUAUAAACUUUGAGAUGAGCUCCUCCAAAUUGAAGCCGGCUGUCAGUUUCAGGCGCAGGCCAAACAACUAGAAUAAAAAGUUCAGCACGGCAAACGCAAUUGUCGUGUCAGCAGCAACAGGCAGCAGCAGGAGGAGCAACAGCAGCAGCAGCAGCAGCAACAACGAAAUUCAAAUAAUUUGAUGAGAAAUUUUUAAUUAACCAAACGCUCGCUCGUAGCUGCCUUUACACUGGCUCUGUGUGUGUUUGUUUUUGGUUGGGCGUUGCUCGCCGCAAAACGCAAAUACUACAGUCGAGGCAAAAUUAAUUUGCCCAGUGCAAAUACUAUGCAAAAAUUCUCACUGUGUGUGUGUAUGUGUGUGUGCGGCGUCAUAAAUUUUACAGCUGUGCGAGAGCAAAACCCCAACCAUGCCAGCCAAAUAACACAAAUUUUUCGCUGACGAGCGAGCAAAGUCAAGCAUAGUGCAAAUAUAAACAGAGCCAAGCACACACAGACACACACUCACACACACACAUGCACAUGCAGAGUGUGUGCAGUGCAAGUCAUCAGGCAAGCUGCUGGGAGUUUCAGUUCCAGUUGCCAAGCUCGAGUCUCAGCCAAUUGCCACAAUGAGGCGGCGGCGGCUGCUGCUGCUGCUGCUGUGUGGUGUUUCCAAGAAAUUUCACCUGCCAUGGCAGCCCUAGACAUCACACACAUACAUACACACACAUGCACACUCGUGAGCACAUAUUUAGUGGUAUUAUGGCCUGGCUAGCUUACGUCGUAGCUGACGUCUAUGACUGCCAAAUACUCGUAGUGCCAUUUGCCACUUGCCACUUGCUGUCGUCAGUGGCACAGCCACAUCCACAUCCACAUUCACAGCCACAUGUAGAGCCAGUACUACAGCUCUAGCUAGUGCCACUGCCGCUGCCAGUUGCAGUUGCUGGGAGUUAGUUACCCAGCAGGCGCUGUCAUAAACAAUCUCAUUUUGCUAGCCAAGCGAACCCAGUGAACAACAUUAAUGAGACAAGUUGCUGCAACUAGGGCGAGAAUGGAGUUUUCAAAACUAAUUAAAACAUUAAAUGAAAUUGAAUUUAACCUAUAUAUAAACUAGAGCAGUAUAACUCAAAUAGA